rnacentral:rRNA from 1 species
UACGUAGGGUGCAAGCGUUAAUCGGAAUUACUGGGCGUAAAGCGUGCGCAGGCGGUGAUGUAAGACAGGUGUGAAAUCCCCAGGCUUAACCUGGGAACUGCAUCCGAUACUGGAUGGCUUGAAUCCGGGAGAGGGAUGCGGAAUUCCAGGUGUAGCGGUGAAAUGCGUAGAUAUCUGGAGGAACACCGGUGGCGAAGGCGGCAUCCUGGACCGGCAUUGACGCUGAGGAGCGAAAGCCAGGGGAGCAAACGGG